rnacentral:rRNA from 1 species
UGAACGCUGGCGGCGUGCCUAAUACAUGCAAGUCGAGCGAACGGACGAGAAGCUUGCUUCUCUGAUGUUAGCGGCGGACGGGUGAGUAACACGUGGAUAACCUACCUAUAAGACUGGGAUAACUUCGGGAAACCGGAGCUAAUACCGGAUAAUAUUUUGAACCGCAUGGUUCACAAGUGAAAGACGGUCUUGCUGUCACUUAUAGAUGGAUCCGCGCUGCAUUAGCUAGUUGGUAAGGUAACGGCUUACCAAGGCAACGAUGCAUAGCCGACCUGAGAGGGUGAUCGGCCACACUGGAACUGAGACACGGUCCAGACUCCUACGGGAGGCAGCAGUAGGGAAUCUUCCGCAAUGGGCGAAAGCCUGACGGAGCAACGCCGCGUGAGUGAUGAAGGUCUUCGGAUCGUAAAACUCUGUUAUUAGGGAAGAACAUAUGUGUAAGUAAUUGUGCACCUCUUGACGGUACCUAAUCAGAAAGCCACGGCUAACUACGUG